rnacentral:tRNA from 1 species
GGGGAUUUAGCUCAGUGGUAGAGCACUUGCCUAGGAAGCACAAGGCCCUGGGUUCGUCCCCAGCCCCG